rnacentral:rRNA from 1 species
AUGGCGACCGGCGCACGGGUGAGUAACGCGUAUCCAACCUGCCCUUUACUAUGGGACAGCCCGUCGAAAGGCGGAUUAAUACCGUAUGUUGUCAUGUUGAUGCAUAUUUUCAUGACCAAAGGCUUCGGCCGGUAAAGGAUGGGGAUGCGUCUGAUUAGCUUGCCGGCGGGGUAACGGCCCACCGGGGCGACGAUUAGCAGGGGUUCUGAGAGGAAGGUCCCCCACAUUGGAACUGAGACACGGUCCAAACUCCUACGGAAGGCAGCAG